rnacentral:rRNA from 1 species
UACGGGGGGAGCAAGCGUUGUUCGGAUUUACUGGGCGUAAAGGGCGCGUAGGCGGCCACCGCAAGUCGACUGUGAAAUCUCCGGGCUUAACCCGGAAAGGUCAGCCGAUACUGCGGGGCUAGAGUGCAGAAGGGGCAACUGGAAUUCUCGGUGUAGCGGUGAAAUGCGUAGAUAUCGAGAGGAACACCUGCGGCGAAGGCGGGUUGCUGGGCUGACACUGACGCUGAUGCGCGAAAGCUAGGGGAGCGAACGAG